AAGUGAGACAGGAACGAGUGGCGCAUUGUUAAAUGAGUAACGCCUGUAACUCUUGGAUUUCGCUGUGUGAUUUCACUUUAACUGCUCCAAGUCGAGAUGUUUGGCUUUCAUAAGCCGAAGAUGUACCGCAGCCUUGAUGGAUGCUGCAUCUGCAGGGCAAAGUCCUCCAGCUCUCGUUUCACUGACAGCAAACGCUAUGAGAGAGACUUUCAGAGCUGCUUUGGGUUAGGUGAAACUCGCUCUGGUGAAAUCUGCAAUGCUUGUGUUCUGCUG